rnacentral:lncRNA from 1 species
CCAUGUUUUUCUGCAGGCUGUGUCAUAUAUUGUGGCGUCUUGAUUAAUCAUCAAUGACAACUAACACUCAUGUCGGUCUCUUUUCACAAUCACAAUAGGGACGUAGCUCUUGCUAUAGUUCUAAGUUGUGAUCCAAAAUUUAAGCUUGAUGAUGCUAAAAAUUACAAAUGAAUUCUUGGUAGUGCAUGUCGAUAUGGCACUUGUGAAAACUGAAGAUUUGGUAUGGAGUCGCAAAAGGUGAAAUACUCUUGAUAAUACAGAAAAAAAAGAAUACAUGACCUUCAACCUUCGUACAUGCCUGAUAUCCUGCUGCCUCUAUUACUACAUUCAUCAUGUCAAUGCAUUGUGUAUUAACAGUUCAUUUUGUUAUUUUCUUUAUAGAUUCAAAAUAUAUAUGGAUGAUUAUAAUGGUGCGUGGCAAGUAUAUUGCAAUGAUGAUGAUGUUCCGGUUCAUGAUGAUGAUGAUGUUCCGGUUCAUGAUGAUAAUGAUGGAUGCUAUCAGUUUUAGUUAAGUUGUAGGGAUGAUGUUCCUGUCUGAUGAUGUUCCCCAGUUAAGUUAGUUUAAGUUGUAGGGAUGUUGAAGGAUGCUUUCUAUUUAAGUUUCGCUGUCAAGAAAAUAUUUAGAUUAUGCAUCAAAUUUGGAUGAUGUUUCCCCUGCAAUAUCAACCAUUGUAAUCCAACAACUUUAUCCAAUAUAUGAUUUCUUUCUCUAAUGAGUAUAUUCUUUUUUUUCCACACUUCAUAUACAUAAUUACCACUGUUAUGUUGAGCAUUAAUUUAAUUGUUGGCAAUAUUAUUUACAUUAUAUAUGUAACAACACAUGAAGCGUUGAAAAAUCCUAGUUGCCAGAAAUGAGAUUUGGAUUCUUGUACAUUAAGCA